CCAGAACCAGCCGUUGUCCCCUGGCAAAAAGAGGCCCAGGGCUGAGCCCUGGGCAAGUGUCUCCCGACAUCGCUACCCCUCCUCCCUUUAUUAGUUUCCCUUUCCCAACAAAAACCAUUGCCUUCUGCCACCAAAACUAGGUUGCAUCCAAAAGUUUUUCACAAGCUUAAAAAAGAAAAACGAAAAAUUGACAAGUAUUACACAGAAGAGCCCACAAAAGCUUCAGCAACACCAAGGGCGAAGAAGCAGCGUCAGAUCCAGGUCUGCAGGACACACCAAAGAAGUCCUCCAAGUCACACAAGGGAGAAAAUUAACUUCAUUGGCUUCUAUCAGGAAAGCUAUUUUUUUUUCCUCUUCUUUCCUGCAAGUUUCCCAAACCCCAUGACUCUGAUUUCCAGGUCAGAGACUAAGGUUUUAUUUUUCUUACUCUGUAUACUUUAUAUGUGGAGAGUCCCUGAAGGAAUAUUGUGAUGGGCUGAUUACUGUGAGCCAGUUGUGGGCCACACCUGGCCUCAGGUGCUGCAAAGGGAAUUCAGUCACCCCUGUGCCAUGAUCUGUGAGCCCCAAGUCAGAUCCGACUUUUUCCUGAUAGACAGCACCCUCCUCCUCCCUACCAAGAAAUAGCAGGGUUGGAGGUAGUGACCCAAUAUUUAAGAGGUUUGAAAUUCUACAUGAGAUAUUUCUGAGUUAACUCCUAAAUAGCAGUUUCCUUAAUCAUGUGGAAAAUAAGAACACUUGCUAAAAAGACCAUUGGUUUAAGAGAAAUGGAAACUUAUGUCCACGUAAAAACUUGUAAAUGAAUGUUCACAGCAGCCUUUUCAUAAUAGCCAAAAAGGGAAAGCAAUCCAAAUGUCCAUCAACCAAUGAACGGAUAAACUUAAUGUGGGAUAUACAUGUAAUGGAAUGCUAUUUGGUGAAGAAAGAAAUGAAAUAUUAAUACAUGCGUUAACAAGGAUGGACCUU
rnacentral:antisense_RNA from 1 species